UACGUAGGGGGCAAGCGUUGUCCGGAUUUACUGGGCGUAAAGAGCGCGUAGGCGGAAGCUUAAGUGUGGCCUGAAAGCCCCCGGCUCAACCGGGGAGGGUGGCUGCAAACUGGGCUUCUUGAGGGGGAUAGAGGAAGGUGGAAUUCCGGGUGUAGCGGUGAAAUGCGUAGAGAUCCGGAGGAACACCAGUGGCGAAGGCGGCCUUCUGGGUCCGCCCUGACGCUGAGGCGCGAAAGCGUGGGGAGCGAACAGG
rnacentral:rRNA from 1 species